GAUGAACGCUAGCUACAGGCUUAACACAUGCAAGUUGAGGGGCAGCAUGGUCUUAGCUUGCUAAGGCCGAUGGCGACCGGCGCACGGGUGAGUAACACGUAUCCAACCUGCCGUCUACUCUUGGACAGCCUUCUGAAAGGAAGAUUAAUACAAGAUGGCAUCAUGAGUCCGCAUGUUCACAUGAUUAAAGGUAUUCCGGUAGACGAUGGGGAUGCGUUCCAUUAGAUAGUAGGCGGGUAACGGCCCACCUAGUCUUCGAUGGAUAGGGGUUCUGAGAGGAAGGUCCCCANAUUGGAACUGAGACACGGUCCAAAACUCCUACGGGAGGCAGCAGUGAGGAAUAUUGGUCAAUGGGGCGAGAGCCUGAACCAGCCAAAGUAGCGUGAAGGAUGACUGCCCUAAUGGGGUUGUAAAACCUUUCUUUUUAAUAAAAGGAAUAAAGUCGGGUAUGGAUACCCGUUUGCAUGUAC
rnacentral:rRNA from 1 species